UUCUCUAUCCUGCCACCAUGUGAAGAAGGACGUGUUGCUUCCCCUUCCACUAUGAUUCUGCAUUUCUUGAGACCUCCCGAGCCAUGCAGAACUAAGAUACUUGAGGCCUCCUUAAAUUAGUUGCAGUAACACAUGGAACAAGAGAUCCACAUUCUCCAACAAUAUAGAAACCAGAAUUCAGCAGCUCUGCAAGAAAUCUAGUCAACACAUUUAUUAUGAUGAUUUAUUAUUCACUGAGCACCAACUCAGUGCUUCUUAU
rnacentral:lncRNA from 1 species